rnacentral:rRNA from 1 species
UACGAAGGGGGCUAGCGUUGCUCGGAAUUACUGGGCGUAAAGGGCGCGUAGGCGGCACUGUUAGUCAGGCGUGAAAGUCCUGGGCUCAACCUGGGAACUGCGCUUGAUACGGCAGAGCUAGAGGAUGGAAGAGGGUCGCGGAAUUCCCAGUGUAGAGGUGAAAUUCGUAGAUAUCGGGAGGAACACCGGUGGCGAAGGCGGUUCUCUGGGCCUGUACUGACGCUGAGGAGCGAAAGCGUGGGGAGCGAACAGG